rnacentral:rRNA from 1 species
CCUACGGGAGGCAGCAGUGGGGAAUAUUGGGCAAUGGUCGCAAGCCUGACCCAGCAACGCCGCGUGAAGGAAGAAGGCUUUCGGUUUGUAAACUUCUUUUCUCAGGGACGAAGCAAGUGACGGUACCUGAGGAAUAAGCCACGGCUACCUACGUGCCAGCAGCCGCGGCAAGCCGUAUGUGGCAAGCGUGAUACGGAUUUACUGGGUGUAAAGGGCGUGUAGGCGGGACUGCAACUCAGAUGUGAAAACCACGGGCUCAACCUGUGGCCUGACUUUGAACCUGUAGUUCUUGAGAACGGGAGAGGCAGACGGAAUUCCUGGUGUAGCGGUGAAAUGCGUAGAUAUUAGGAGGAACACCAGUGGCGAAGGCGGUCUGCUGGACAGAAACUGACGCUGAGGCGCGAAAGCGUGGGGAGCGAACAGGAUUAGAUACCCUUGUAGUC